rnacentral:rRNA from 1 species
AAUGUCUGGGAAACUGCCCGAUGGAGGGGGAUAACUACUGGAAACGGUAGCUAAUACCGCAUAACGUCGCAAGACCAAAGAGGGGGACCUUCGGGCCUCUUGCCAUCGGAUGUGCCCAGAUGGGAUUAGCUAGUAGGUGGGGUAACGGCUCACCUAGGCGACGAUCCCUAGCUGGUCUGAGAGGAUGAUCAGCCACACUGGGACUGAGACACGGCCCAG